rnacentral:rRNA from 1 species
CAGCCGCCGCGGUAAUACCUGCAGCUCGAGUGGUGGCCGCUAUUAUUGGGCCUAAAACGUCCGUAGCCGGUUUAUCAAAUGCCUGGGUAAAUCGGGCCGCUUAACGGUUCGAAUUCCGGGUAGACUGAUAAACUUGAGACCGGGGGAAGUUGGAGGUACUCCUGGGGUAGGGGUGAAAUCCUGUAAUCCUAGGGGGACCACCGGUGGCGAAGGCGUCCAACUAGAACGGGUCUGACGGUGAGGGACGAAGCCCUGGGGAGCAAACGGGAGUAGAUACCCCGGUAGUCCAGGGUGUAAACGCUGCCUGCUUGAUGUUAGUCUGGCUCCGGGCCAGGCUAGUGUCGGAGAGAAGUUGUUAAGCAGGCGGCCUGGGGAGUACGGUCGCAAGACUGAAACUUAAAGGAAUUGGCGGG